CCCUGUAUCGAAAGUGACUUUGGCAUGAUUGUUGCCAUUUUCAUCGAUAGUACAGGAAAAGUGAUCUGAACGCCUUUCCCGUGUUUGUUGGAAUAUCCAUUCCUGUCAAACCCUGUAUCGUUCAUACA
ensembl:snoRNA SNORA71 Small nucleolar RNA SNORA71